UGGAAACCUGUUACAACAGUUAGGGAGAUAUGGGGGAGGUUACCGGCUGCUCCGGCCCCUCAGGCAGAGGCCUGGCCACUUUCCUGUCUUGAGGGUUUAUAAAGUUUACAAAGUAUAUGACAUUUACUGUUUACACAGGGAGUACAACAGGAAAGGCUUUGCCCACCUCUGGAGUGGUGUCCAUAGCCAACAGUGAGACUUAAAAUGGCCAUGUUGAAGGAACCGUGUCAUUGGAGGUGGGCUUUAAGAAUGUAAGGACUCGGUCUCUCACUGCAGCAACGCAAGCGCGAGCUCGGAAAGAGAAUCCACGUGUUGUAAGAAAAUGGCAGACAAGGCAGACAUGCGGGAAAUCGCCAGCUUCGAUAAGGCCAAGCUGAAGAAAACCGAGACGCAGGAGAAUAACACCCUGCCGACCAAAGAGACCAUCGAACAGCUCAGGAUGUGAGCCCUCGGCUUCCACUUCAGCCACCAAGCCUGCUGCAUGCUGCCAGGCUUCCCAGACAUGACAAACUCUGGAUCCACAAGCCCAAAUAAAGUCUCAUAUAAAUGGUC
rnacentral:lncRNA from 1 species